GACAGAGGUCCCGAGCGUUAGGCGGAAUCACUGGGCUUAAGGCGUGUGUAGGCGGAUGCCUAAGUACCUUGUGAAAUCCCACGGCUCACCCGUGGAACUGCUCGGUAUACUGGGUGUCUUGAGCCACUUAGGGGCUACCGGAACAAAUGGUGGAGCGGUGAAAUGCGUAGAUAUCAUUUGGAACGCCAAUGGUGAAAACAGGUAGCUGGGAGUGUGCUGACGCUGAGACACGAAAGCCAGGGGAGCAAACGGG
rnacentral:rRNA from 1 species